rnacentral:rRNA from 1 species
AACGAACGCUGGCGGCACGCUUAACACAUGCAAGUCGAACGGUAUGGUAACUUGUUACCAGAGAGUGGCGGACGGGUGAGUAACGCGUGGGAACCUACCCUUUAGUUUGGGACAACCAUGGGAAACUAUGGCUAAUACCGGAUACGCUCGAGAGAGGAAAGAUUUAUCGCUAAAGGAUGGGCCCGCGUAGGAUUAGGUAGUUGGUAGGGUAAAGGCCUACCAAGCCUGUGAUCUUUAGCUGGUCUGAGAGGAUGGCCAGCCACACUGGGACUGAGACACGGCCCAGACUCCUACGGGAGGCAGCAGUGGGGAAUAUUGGACAAUGGGCGCAAGCCUGAUCCAGCAAUGCCGCGUGUGUGAAGAAGGCCUGCGGGUUGUAAAGCACUUUCAGUGGGGAAGAACGGGCCAAGGUUAAUACCCUGGCUUCUGACGUUACCCACAGAAGAAGCACCGGCUAACUCCGUG